rnacentral:rRNA from 1 species
AUUGAACGCUGGCGGCAGGCCUAACACAUGCAAGUCGAACGAGUGGCGGACGGGUGAGUAAUGUCUGGGAAACUGCCUGAUGGCGGGGGAUAACUCCUGGAAACGGUAGCUAAUCCCGCAUACCAUCGGAUGUGCCCACAUGGGAUUUGCGAGUAGGUGGGGUAAAGGCUCACCGAGGCGACGAUCCCUAGCUGGUCUGAGAGGAUGACAAGCCACACUGGAACUGAGACACGGUCCAGACUCAUACGGGAGGCAGCAGUGGGGAAUAUUGCACAAUGGGCGCAAGCCUGAUGCAGCCAUGCCGCGUGUAUGAAGAAGGCCUUCGGGUUGUAAAGUACUUUCAGCGGGGAGGCGUUACCCGCAGAAGAAGCACCGGCUAACUCCGUGCCAGCAGCCGCGGUAAUUC